UCCAUCUAGUUUGGGAAGUAAACGGUGGAAGAAACUCUGGUGCUUCGAGGACGGGCCUGCCGGCCGAUUAGCUAGGUUGGGGGGUAAAGGCCUACCAAGGCGACGAUCGGUAGCUGGUCUGAGAGGACGAUCAGCCACACGGGAACUGAGACACGGUCCCGACUCCUACGGGGGGCAGCAGUGAGGAAUAUUGGGCAAUGGGCGGAAGCCUGACCCAGCAACGCCGCGUGGAGGAUUGAAGGCCUUCGGGUUGUAAACUCCUUUUGCAGGGGAAGAGGAAGGACGGUACCCUGCGAAUAAGUCACGGCUAACUACGUG
rnacentral:rRNA from 1 species